rnacentral:rRNA from 1 species
AACGAACGCUGGCGGCAGGCUUAACACAUGCAAGUCGAGCGCGCCUUCGGGUGAGCGGCGGACGGGUUAGUAACGCGUGGGAACGUGCCCUUCUCUACGGAAUAGCCUCUGGAAACGGAGAGUAAUACCGUAUACGCCCUUUGGGGGAAAGAUUUAUCGGAGAAGGAUCGGCCCGCGUUAGAUUAGGUAGUUGGUGGGGUAACGGCCUACCAAGCCUACGAUCUAUAGCUGGUUUUAGAGGAUGAUCAGCAACACUGGGACUGAGACACGGCCCAGACUCCUACGGGAGGCAGCAGUGGGGAAUCUUAGACAAUGGGGGCAACCCUGAUCUAGCCAUGCCGCGUGAGUGAUGAAGGCCUUAGGGUCGUAAAGCUCUUUCGCCUGUGAUGAUAAUGACAGUAGCAGGUAAAGAAACCCCGGCUAACUCCGUG